GCAAGGGCCUUUAAAAUUCGGUUCCAGCAAUGAAAGAGUUAAUGACAAACUGUAAACAUCUGGGAUGGUAUAAUGAAUCAUAACUUGUACGUAAGCAGUCCAUAAUUUUUUCAAUUCGCUUCACAGGCACUUGCCCUGAAGUUGGCAUUGUUUUAUGUUUGACAGAUUGUUGCACAUCUUAUUCCCUGUAAAAUAAAAUUUAAAAAACAUCCACCAUUUGAGACGAUUUUUUUCAUAAUCUUGUCAUGGCGUAAAAGUUGUGUAGGUCAUGUAUGACAGCUGUCAUAAAAUGUACAAGUUACAAUAAAGAGAGGACAUGGUGCUUUUAAUGAUAUUUUCAUUGUGCAGAAUUUGCCGCCCUGUUUCUGGAUAAAUUGUUGUUUCAGUGUCACUGCAUUUUGCGUUUUUUUGCUUAAACUUGACAUAAUGAAAACAACAUGUCCUUUAGCAGGCAUUUUCAAGUAAAUUGCUUACAUAUGUUAAAAUGUCUUUUUUUGUUAUCUGUGAAUGCCGGUUGUCAUUUUAAUACUUUUGAAAAUUAGCUUGGUUAAAUUUUGAUAAAAUUCGGUAUAAAUGGUCAAAGUAUGAAUGGUAUAGUAUUGGUUAAAGCAAGUAAGGGAAAUUGAUAAAACGAAGUUCAAAUUGAGUAUGAUGACAUCUUAAUUAAACCAAUAGUAGGAUAAUUACAUGUCUUAAAUUUGUAUGCCCCCCUUCGAAGAAGAGGGGGUAUAUUGCUUUGCUCAUGUCGGUCUGUCAGUCGGUCUGUCGGUCGGUCGGUCGGAUCUGUCCGUCCACCAGGUGGUUGUCAGACGAUAACUCAAGAACGCUUGGGCCUAGGAUCAUGAAACUUCAUAGGUACAUUGAUCAUGACUUGCAGAUGACCCCUAUUGAUUUUGAGGUCACUAGGUCAAAGGUCAAGGUCACGGUGACCCGAAAUAGUAAAAUGGUUUCUGGAUGAUAACUCAAGAACGCAUACGCCUAGGAUCAUGAAACUUCAUGGGAAGAUUGAUCAUGACUCGCAGAUGACUCCUAUUGAUUUUGAGGUCACUAGGUCAAAGGUCAAGGUCACGGUGACCCGAAAUAGUAAAAUGGUUUCCGGAUGAUAACUCAAGAACGCAUACGCCUAGGAUCAUGAAACUUCAUGGGUAGAUUGAUCAUGACUCGCAGAUGACCCCUAUUGAUUUUGAGGUCACUAGGUCAAAGGUCAAGGUCACGGUGACCCGAAAUAGUAAAAUGGUUUUCGGAUGAUAACUCAAGAACGCAUACGCCUAGGAUCAUGAAACUUCAUAGGUAGAUUGAUCAUGACUUGCAGAUGACCCCUAUUGAUUUUGAGGUCACAAGGUCAAAGGUCAAGGUCACGGUGACCCGAAAUAGUAAAAUGAUUUUCGGAUGAUAACUCAAGUAGGCUUUUGCCUAGGAUCAUGACACUUCAUAGGUACAUUGAUCGUGACUCGCAGAUGACCCCUAUUGAUUUUCAGGUCACUAGGUCAAAGGUCAAGGUCACAGUGACAAAAAUCGUAUUCACACAAUGGCUGCCACUACAACGGACAGCCCAUAUGGGGGGCAUGCAUGUUUUACAAACAGCCCUUGUUUAUAAACAAUUACAUUUCAUCGCUCACACUUUCAAAAUGCAAUCAUACACAAAAGUUAAAAACACAUGAUUGUUUCUUAAAUAUUAAAUAGUUUUUUUUACAUGUUUCUCUUAAUUGAAUUCGUCUGUGCUUGGUUAAAAUUUCAAAUAAUUCACACUCUUAUUCUUUUAAUAAAUGCUCAUAUUAACAUAUUUGUGACAUGCCUAGUUUAAUAUUCAAUCACAUGUGAUAUUUCGUCAAAGGCUUAUGUGCAUAUCUAUGUAAUAAAAUUUAGAGAUUUA